AUGCGGGCGGAGAGGGUGCGCCGAAGACCGAGCGAGCGCCAGAGGAGGAGAGAGCAGGACGCAGGGGCACGACGGGGAGGUCUCCCGCCCGGGAGCAAACCAGGACCAGCGCAACGCGGGCAAGCCCUUCUUGGGUUUGCUCUUCAUCUUCGUCGACCACUCCGUCGAGGAUGCAGGACUUGGCGAUUAUACUCAAAGAAUUGA
rnacentral:rRNA from 1 species